UACGAAGGGUGCAAGCGUUGUUCGGAAUUAUUGGGCGUAAAGCGCACGUAGGCGGCCUUGUAAGUCUCACUGUGAAAGUCCGGGGCUCAACCCCGGGAUGCCAGGGGAUACUGCGAGGCUUGAGGGCAGGAGAGGCUCGCGGAAUUCCCAGUGUAGAGGUGAAAUUCGUAGAUAUUGGGAAGAACACCGGUGGCGAAGGCGGCGAGCUGGCCUGUUACUGACGCUGAGGCGCGACAGCGUGGGGAGCAAACAGG
rnacentral:rRNA from 1 species